CAAGACGACGACGGGUAGCCGGCCUGAGAGGGCGACCGGCCACACUGGGACUGAGACACGGCCCAGACUCCUACGGGAGGCAGCAGUGGGGAAUAUUGCACAAUGGGGGAAAMCCUGAUGCAGCGACGCAGCGUGCGGGAUGACGGCCUUCGGGUUGUAAACCGCUUUCAGCAGGGAAGAAGCGCAAGUGACGGUACCUGCAGAAGAAGUACCGGCUAACUACGUGCCAGCAGCCGCGGUAAUACGUAGGGUACGAGCGUUGUCCGGAAUUAUUGGGCGUAAAGAGCUCGUAGGUGGUUGGUCACGUCUGCUGUGGAAACGCAACGCUUAACGUUGCGCGUGCAGUGGGUACGGGCUGACUAGAGUGCAGUAGGGGAGUCUGGAAUUCCUGGUGUAGCGGUGAAAUGCGCAGAUAUCAGGAGGAACACCGGUGGCGAAGGCGGGACUCUGGGCUGUAACUGACACUGAGGAGCGAAAGCAUGGGGAGCGAACAGGAUUAGAUACCCUGGUAGUCCAUGCCGUAAACGUUGGGCACUAGGUGUGGGGGGCAUUCCACGUUCUCCGCGCCGUAGCUAACGCAUUAAGUGCCCCGCCUGGGGAGUACGG
rnacentral:rRNA from 1 species